GAUGAACGCUGGCGGCGUGCCUAAUACAUGCAAGUCGAGCGAACGGACGAGAAGCUUGCUUCUCUGAUGUUAGCGGCGGACGGGUGAGUAACACGUGGAUAACCUACCUAUAAGACUGGGAUAACUUCGGGAAACCGGAGCUAAUACCGGAUAAUAUUUUGAACCGCAUGGUUCAAAAGUGAAAGACGGUCUUGCUGUCACUUAUAGAUGGAUCCGCGCUGCAUUAGCUAGUUGGUAAGGUAACGGCUUACCAAGGCAACGAUGCAUAGCCGACCUGAGAGGGUGAUCGGCCACACUGGAACGUAGACACGGUCCAGACUCCUACGGGAGGCAGCAGUAGGGAAUCUUCCGCAAUGGGCGAAAGCCCGACGGAGCAACGCCGCGUGAGUGAUGAAGGUCUUCGGAUCGUAAAACUCUGUUAUUAGGGAAGAACAUAUGUGUAAGUAACUGUGCACAUCUUGACGGUACCUAAUCAGAAAGCCACGGCUAACUACGUG
rnacentral:rRNA from 1 species